rnacentral:rRNA from 1 species
AGAGUUUGAUCCUGGCUCAGGAUGAACGCGUGGCGGCGUGCUUAACACAUGCAAGUCGAACGAAGCGCGCGGAAGGAAGGCCUUCGGACCGGAAAUCCGCGGGACUGAGUGGCGGACGGGUGAGUAACGCGUGGGCAACCUGCCCCGUACAGGGGGAUAACAGCCGGAAACGGCUGCUAAUACCGCAUAGGCGCACAGCGCCGCAUGGCGCGGUGUGAAAAGCUCCGGCGGUACGGGAGGGGCCCGCGUCUGAUUAUGCAGUUGGCGGGGCAGCGGCCCACCAAACCGACUAUCAGUAGCCGGCCGGAGAGGGCGGCCGGCCCCCUUGGGACUGAUACACCGCCCAUCCUCCUGCGGGAGGCGACGGUGGGGAAUAUUGCCCUGUGGGGGACACCCUGAUGCAGCGACGCCGCGUGAGCGAAGAAGUAUUUCGGUAUGUAAAGCUCUAUCAGCAGGGAAGAAAAAAAUGACGGUACCUGAGUAAGAAGCACCGGCUAAAUACGUGCCAGCAGCCGCGGUAAUACGUAUGGUGCAAGCGUUAUCCGGAUUUACUGGGUGUAAAGGGAGCGUAGGCGGCGCGUUAAGUCUGAUGUGAAAACCCGAGGCUCAACCACGGGAGUGCAUUGGAAACUGGCGUGCUGGAGUGCCGGAGAGGUAAGCGGAAUUCCUAGU